ACUUAAAUUGAAGAGUUUGAUCAUGGCUCAGAUUGAACGCUGGCGGCAGGCCUAACACAUGCAAGUCGAGCGGUAGCACAGAGAGCUUGCUCUCGGGUGACGAGCGGCGGACGGGUGAGUAAUGUCUGGGAAACUGCCUGAUGGAGGGGAUAACU
rnacentral:rRNA from 1 species